AAUCAACGCUGGCGGCGCGCUUAACACAUGCAAGUCGCACGAGAAAGGGGCAACCUGAGUAAAGUGGCGUACGGGUGAGUAACACGUGGAUCAUACACCUUUUAGUGGGGAAUAACUUUGGGAAACCGAAGCUAAUACCGCAUAAGCCCGAGAGGGGAAAGUAGCAAUACGCUGAAAGAGUAGUCCGCGGCUGAUUAGCUAGUUGGUGAGGUAAUGGCUCACCAAGGCAAUGAUCGGUAGCCGGCCUGAGAGGGCUCACGGCCACACUGGCACUGAA
rnacentral:rRNA from 1 species